UGGGGUAUAUUGGACAAUGGGCGAAAGCCUGAUCCAGCCAUGCCGCGUGUGUGAAGAAGGUCUUCGGAUUGUAAAGCACUUUAAGUUGGGAGGAAGGGCAGUAAGCGAAUACCUUGCUGUUUUGACGUUACCGACAGAAUAAGCACCGGCUAACUCUGUGCCAGCAGCCGCGGUAAUACAGAGGGUGCAAGCGUUAAUCGGAAUUACUGGGCGUAAAGCGCGCGUAGGUGGUUCGUUAAGUUGAAUGUGAAAGCCCCGGGCUCAACCUGGGAACUGCAUCCAAAACGGGCGAGCUAGAGUAGGGCAGAGGGUGGUGGAAUUUCCUGUGUAGCGGUGAAAUGCGUAGAUAUAGGAAGGAACACCAGUGGCGAAGGCGACCACCUGGGCUCAUACUGACACUGAGGUGCGAAAGCGUGGGGAGCAAACAGG
rnacentral:rRNA from 1 species